rfam:Aureobasidium subglaciale EXF-2481 unplaced genomic scaffold scaffold_14, whole genome shotgun sequence.
UCCGAUAUGGUCUAGUGGCUAGGAUUUCUCGCUCUCAAACAGUUCGGAAGAACGAUCAGGUCCGAGGAGGCCGGGGUUCAAUUCCCCGUGUCGGAA